GGUGUUGCAGCGUCGGCCUCUGUUCUGAUUCUGGUUCCUCUUGCUCAGGCCAAAAACACGCUUCGCCGUUCUCUGCACAGACAACUAACGAGAGGAGAGUUUCGAAGCUCUUUCCAUGGCAGAGAAGCCAGAGCCCGUGCGCGUUCUUUACUGUCAAAUGUGCGGUUUGCCGGCGGAGUACUGCGAGUUCGGGCCGGACUUUGAGAAGUGCAAGCCCUGGCUCAUCCAGAACGCGCCGGAUCUCUAUCCUGAUCUACUCAAAGAGGCUAACGAUAAACAAGCGGAGAAGGUUGCAAAUCAGUUGCAGGCUGUUGGGAUUUCGAGCUCGGGCGAUGGUGGAGGUGUUCGUGAGGGCCAGGCUGAUUCUUCUGGAAGCAAUGCAGCAUCUAAGCCAGAAGAAGUAAAACGUCUUCCUGGCGGUAAGAUAAAGAAAAAGGACAAGCAAGAAGUUGUCAUUGAAAAGAUUGUUCGGAAUAAGCGCAAGAGUAUAACUGUGGUGAAAGGCUUGGAUCUAUUUGGUGUUAAAUUAAGUGAUGCAUCGAAGAAACUUGGAAAGAAGUUUGCAACAGGAGCAUCUAUUGUUAAGGGUCCAACUGAGAAGGAACAAAUUGAUGUCCAAGGGGAUAUUUCAUAUGAUAUAGUAGAAUUCAUCACAGAAACUUGGCGAGAGGUGCCAGAGUCUGCAAUUUUCUUCAUUGAAGACGGAAGGAAGGUUCCUGCUGCUUGAUCUGUCACCGCUGGAAUCUAACUACAAGGUAGAAUACUGCUCCAGAAAAUAUCCUAAUCCACUCCCAAAAAAAAAAAAAAAAAACUGUUCCUGUGCUAAAAUUUAUAAUAUCAUAUGCAGAGUUGUAUGAUUUUGUGCUUUGUAACGUGCUUUUUUGGUAUUUCAUGUUGCACCAAACAGCCAGAAAUUAGUAGUUUUUUUUUUGUGAAGAAGUUAUUUAUGUACUUUAUUUAGCUCCAGAUUUGUAUUCAACUGAUCUAAAUAUGAGUUGCAGAAUUCCUUUUGAGUUUA